rnacentral:rRNA from 1 species
UGCUAUACAUGCAGUCGUACGCUUCUUUUUCCACCGGAGCUUGCUCCACCGGAAAAAGAAGAGUGGCGAACGGGUGAGUAACACGUGGGUAACCUGCCCAUCAGAAGGGGAUAACACUUGGAAACAGGUGCUAAUACCGUAUAACAAUCGAAACCGCAUGGUUUUGAUUUGAAAGGCGCUUUCGGGUGUCGCUGAUGGAUGGACCCGCGGUGCAUUAGCUAGUUGGUGAGGUAACGGCUCACCAAGGCUACGAUGCAUAGCCGACCUGAGAGGGUGAUCGGCCACAUUGGGACUGAGACACGGCCCAAACUCCUACGGGAGGCAGCAGUAGGGAAUCUUCGGCAAUGGACGAAAGUCUGACCGAGCAACGCCGCGUGAGUGAAGAAGGUUUUCGGAUCGUAAAACUCUGUUGUUAGAGAAGAACAAGGAUGAGAGUAACUGUUCAUCCCUUGACGGUAUCUAACCAGAAAGCCACGGCUAACUACGUGCCAGCAGCCGCGGUAAUACGUAGGUGGCAAGCGUUGUCCGGAUUUAUUGGGCGUAAAGCGAGCGCAGGCGGUUUCUUAAGUCUGAUGUGAAAGCCCCCGGCUCAACCGGGGAGGGUCAUUGGAAACUGGGAGACUUGAGUGCAGAAGAGGAGAGUGGAAUUCCAUGUGUAGCGGUGAAAUGCGUAGAUAUAUGGAGGAACACCAGUGGCGAAGGCGGCUCUCUGGUCUGUAACUGACGCUGAGGCUCGAAAGCGUGGGGAGCAAACAGGAUUAGAUACCCUGGUAGUCCACGCCGUAAACGAUGAGUGCUAAGUGUUGGAGGGUUUCCGCCCUUCAGUGCUGCAGCUAACGCAUUAAGCACUCCGCCUGGGGAGUACGACCGCAAGGUUGAAACUCAAAGGAAUUGACGGGGGCCCGCACAAGCGGUGGAGCAUGUGGUUUAAUUCGAAGCAACGCGAAGAACCUUACCAGGUCUUGACAUCCUUUGACCACUCUAGAGAUAGAGCUUCCCCUUCGGGGGCAAAGUGACAGGUGGUGCAUGGUUGUCGUCAGCUCGUGUCGUGAGAUGUUGGGUUAAGUCCCGCAACGAGCGCAACCCUUAUUGUUAGUUGCCAUCAUUCAGUU